rnacentral:misc_RNA from 1 species
GAUGAAGAACGUAGCGAAAUGCGAUACGUAAUGUGAAUUGCAGAAUUCAGUGAAUCAUCGAGUCUUUGAACGCACAUUGCGCCCCCUGGUAUUCCGGGGGGCAUGCCUGUCCGAGCGUCAUUGCUGCCCUCAGGCACGGCUUGUGUGUUGGGCCUCCGUCCUCCUCCCGGGGGACGGGCCCGAAAGGCAGCGGCGGCACCGCGUCCGGUCCUCGAGCGUAUGGGGCUUCGUCACCCGCUCUUGUAGGCCCGGCCGGCGCUUGCCGACACAUCAAUCUUUUUUCCAGGUUGACCUCGGAUCAGGUAGGGAUACCCGCUGAACUUAAGCAUAUCAAUAAGCGGAGGA